UACAGAGGUGCCAAGCGUUAGUCGGAAUCACUGGGCUUAAAGCGCGUGUAGGUGGGUCGUUAAGUGUCCGCGUGAAAUCCCACGGCUCAACCGUGGAACUGCCGGGCAUACUGGCGAUCUUGAGGCAUUCAGGGGCGAGCGGAACAAGUGGUGGAGCGGUGAAAUGCGUAGAUAUCACUUGGAACGCCAAUGGUGAAAGCAGCUCGCUGGGAAUGAUCUGACACUGAGACGCGAAAGCCAGGGGAGCGAACGGG
rnacentral:rRNA from 1 species